GUUCCUGUAGUUGAAUACAACGGUGGUUUUUCAAGCCAUUAGUCCUGGUUAGAGUCCGGGUGGGAACU
rnacentral:tRNA from 1 species